GAUGAACGCUGGCGGCGUGCCUAAUACAUGCAAGUCGAGCGAACAGACGAGGAGCUUGCUCCUCUGACGUUAGCGGCGGACGGGUGAGUAACACGUGGAUAACCUACCUAUAAGACUGGGAUAACUUCGGGAAACCGGAGCUAAUACCGGAUAAUAUAUUGCACCGCAUGGUUCACUAGUGAAAGACGGUUUUGCUGUCACUUAUAGAUGGAUCCGCGCCGCAUUAGCUAGUUGGUAAGGUAACGGCUUACCAAGGCGACGAUGCGUAGCCGACCUGAGAGGGAGGUCGGCCACACGGGAACAGAGACACGGUCCAGACUCCGACGGUAGGCAGCAGUAGGGAAUCUUCCGCAAUGGGCGAAAGCCGGACGGAGCAACGCCGCGUGAGUGAUGAAGGUCUUCGGAUCGUAAAACGCUGUUAGUAGUGAAGAACAAAUGUGUAAGUAACUAUGCACGUCUUGACGGUACCUAAUCAGAAAGCCACGGCUAACUACGUG
rnacentral:rRNA from 1 species